GUGAAAGAUGGACAGGCUGAAGAGCUGCUGUGUCCGGGUGUAGACCCACGGUGUGCUUACAGGUGCAUGGGUGGUUGUCUCGGUCCUUCUAGUGCACCUGCC